rnacentral:rRNA from 1 species
UACGUAGGGUGCAAGCGUUGUUCGGAAUUAUUGGGCGUAAAGAGCUCGUAGGCGGUUUGUCGCGUCGACUGUGAAAACCCGAGGCUUAACCUCGGGCCUGCAGUCGAUACGGGCAGACUAGAGUUCGGUAGGGGAGACUGGAAUUCCUGGUGUAGCGGUGAAAUGCGCAGAUAUCAGGAGGAACACCGGUGGCGAAGGCGGGUCUCUGGGCCGAUACUGACGCUGAGGAGCGAAAGCGUGGGGAGCAAACAGG